CCUACGGGUGGCAGCAGUGAGGAAUAUUGGUCAAUGGACGCAAGUCUGAACCAGCCAAGUCGCGUGAAGGAUGACUGCCCUAUGGGUUGUAAACUUCUUUUAUAGGGGAAUAAAAGUAUCCACGUGUGCCUUUUUGCAUGUACUUUAUGAAUAAGCAUCGGCUAACUCCGUGCCAGCAGCCGCGGUAAUACGGAGGAUCCGAGCGUUAUCCGGAUUUAUUGGGUUUAAAGGGUGCGUAGGUUGGUUUUUAAGUCAGUGGUGAAAGUUUGCGGCUCAACCUGAAAAUUGCACUUGAUACUGGAAGUCUUGAGUAUAUUUGAGGUAGGCGGAAUGCGUGGUGUAGCGGUGAAAUGCAUAGAUAUCACGAAGAACUCCGAUUGCGAAGGCAGCAUACUAGACCUCGACUGACGUUGAGGCACGAAAGCGUGGGUAUCGAACAGGAUUAGAUACCCUUGUAGUC
rnacentral:rRNA from 1 species